rnacentral:rRNA from 1 species
CGGUAGCCCCUAUAACUUGCACGUCUAAACGUGGUACCCGGAAGCUUGCUCCUUGGGUGACGAGUGGGGGACGGGUGAGUAAUGUCUGGGAAACUGCCCGAUGGAGGGGGAUAACUACUGGAAACGGUAGCUAAUACCGCAUAACGUCGCAAGACCGGGGAGGGGGACCUUCGGGCCUCUUGCCAUCGGAUGUGCCCAGAUGGGAUUAGCUAGUAGGUGGGGUAACGGCUCACCUAGGCGACGAUCCCUAGCUGGUCUGAGAGGAUGACCAGCCACACUGGAACUGAGACACGGUCCAGACUCCUACGGGAGGCAGCAGUGGGGAAUAUUGCACAAUGGGCGCAAGCCUGAUGCAGCCAUGCCGCGUGUAUGAGGAAGGCCUUCGGGUUGUAAAGUACUUUCAGCGAGGAGGAAGGUGUUGUGGUUAAUAACCGCAGCAAUUGACGUUACUCGCAGAAGAAGCACCGGCUAACUCCGUGCCAGCAGCCGCGGUAAUACGGAGGGUGCAAGCGUUAAUCGGAAUUACUGGGCGUAAAGCGCACGCAGGCGGUCUGUCAAGUCGGAUGUGAAAUCCCCGGGCUCAACCUGGGAACUGCAUCCGAAACUGGUCAAGCUAAAGUUCUUGUAGAGGGGGGGUAGAAUUCCAGUGUAGCGUGAAAUGCUAGAGAUCUGGAGGAAUACCGUGGCGAAGCCGCCCCCUGGACAAAACUGACGCUCAGGUGCCAAAGCUUG